rnacentral:siRNA from 1 species
GAACUAGCUGAUUCAGGAUGUGC